AUUGAACGCUGGCGGCAGGCCUAACACAUGCAAGUCGAGCGGAUGAAGGGAGCUUGCUCCUGGAUUCAGCGGCGGACGGGUGAGUAAUGCCUAGGAAUCUGCCUGGUAGUGGGGGAUAACGUCCGGAAACGGGCGCUAAUACCGCAUACGUCCUGAGGGAGAAAGUGGGGGAUCUUCGGACCUCACGCUAUCAGAUGAGCCUAGGUCGGAUUAGCUAGUUGGUGGGGUAAAGGCCUACCAAGGCGACGAUCCGUAACUGGUCUGAGAGGAUGAUCAGUCACACUGGAACUGAGACACGGUCCAGACUCCUACGGGAGGCAGCAGUGGGAAAUAUUGGACAAUGGGCGAAAGCCUGAUCCAGCCAUGCCGCGUGUGUGAAGAAGGUCUUCGGAUUGUAUAGCACUUUAAGUUGGGAGGAAGGGCAGUAAGUUAAUACCUUGCUGUUUUGACGUUACCAACAGAAUAAGCACCGGCUAACUUCGUG
rnacentral:rRNA from 1 species